CCUACGGGUGGCAGCAGUGGGGAAUAUUGCACAAUGGGGGAAACCCUGAUGCAGCAACGCCGCGUGAGUGAAGAAGUAUUUCGGUAUGUAAAGCUCUAUCAGCAGGGAAGAAAAAAGACGGUACCUGACUAAGAAGCCCCGGCUAACUACGUGCCAGCAGCCGCGGUAAUACGUAGGGGGCAAGCGUUAUCCGGAUUUAGUGGGUGGAAAGGGAGCGUAGACGGGAUAGCAAGUCUGGAGUGAAAGCCCGUGGCUCAACCGGUGAACUGCUAUGGAAACUGUUAAGCUGGAUUACUGGAGAGGCAAGCGGAAUUCGUGGUGUAGCGGUGAAAUGCGUAGAUAUUAGGAGGAACACCAGUGGCGAAGGCGGCUUGCUGGACAGAGACUGACGUUGAGGCUCGAAAGCGUGGGGAGCAAACAGGAUUAGAUACCCCUGUAGUC
rnacentral:rRNA from 1 species